GAUGAACGCUGCGGCGUGCCUCAUACAUGCAAGUCGAGCGAACAGACGAGGAGCUUGCUCCUCUGACGUUAGCGGCGGACGGGUGAGUAACACGUGGAUAACCUACCUAUAAGACUGGGAUAACUUCGGGAAACCGGAGCUAAUACCGGAUAAUAUAUUGAACCGCAUGGUUCAAUAGUGAAAGACGGUUUUGCUGUCACUUAUAGAUGGAUCCGCGCCGCAUUAGCUAGUUGGUAAGGUAACGGCUUACCAAGGCAACGAUGCGUAGCCGACCUGAGAGGGUGAUCGGCCACACUGGAACUGAGACACGGUCCAGACUCCUACGGGAGGCAGCAGUAGGGAAUCUUCCGCAAUGGGCGAAAGCCUGACGGAGCAACGCCGCGUGAGUGAUGAAGGUCUUCGGAUCGUAAAACUCUGUUAUUAGGGAAGAACAAAUGUGUAAGUAACUAUGCACGUCUUGACGGUACCUAAUCAGAAAGCCACGGCUAACUACGUG
rnacentral:rRNA from 1 species